rnacentral:tRNA from 2 species
CGGGCCGUAGCGUAACGGCAGCGCACACCCUUGGGGUGGGUGAGGACGGAGUCCGAUUCCCCGCGGCCCGA